CUCGCCCAUUGCCAACUUUUCCAUAUAAAGGGGCUCAUCCUCGUCAUUGAACCCCAAAUAGUCAUUUAGCGACUUCCCAUCGAAUAAUACCUUUUUGUUUUGAACCUUGGUCACUUUGGAACCCUUGAUGAUAUGGGUCACAUUAAGUAAAACUCCUUGACCAAGUAUUCAUUUGCCUCCAAACAGUCAUCUAAAAAGUGCUCCCACCCUACUCUCGUCUUGAACUCUCUCUGCAUAUUUGGGUUAUGGGGUAGAAGGUCUCUAUCUAUGAAGCUCCUCUCUAAAAUUAGCUUUCUUAGUGGCACCAUUCCCUAAGUUUGUGGAACACCACCUGGCUGACGAAUCUAUCCUCCCAAGCUGUGGGAUUUCUAGUCCUGGCAAUUCAGCAAACCUGAGGCUCACCACCCUCAUGUACCUCCUCAUCUCCCUUAUCACCUCCGCCUGCACUCUCCCGGAACUGAAGCCAUAGGGGAGGUGGAGUACUCACCGCUUCCGUCUACUGAGCCCUCAGACGAUUCAGUUUGGAUAUGAUUUGCUGCUUGGGCAGUGGGUGAUAGUGGAGGAGAAUCAUCAGUCAAUUCGAAUUUGGAGAAACUGAGUCGGAAGAGAUGUCUUGGGUGGAACAUACUCAC
rnacentral:lncRNA from 1 species